ACACGACUCUCGGCAACGGAUAUCUCGGCUCUCGCAUCGAUGAAGAACGUAGCAAAAUGCGAUACCUGGUGUGAAUUGCAGAAUCCCGCGAACCAUCGAGUUUUUGAACGCAAGUUGCGCCCGAGGCCUUCUGGCUGAGGGCACGUCUGCCUGGGCGUCACGCC
rnacentral:rRNA from 3 species